rnacentral:rRNA from 1 species
UACGUAGGUGGCAAGCGUUGUCCGGAUUUACUGGGCGUAAAGAGCGCGCAGGCGGUCGGAUAAGUCGAAUGUGAAAGCCCCCGGCUCAACUGGGGAGGGUCAUUCGAUACUGUUCGACUCGAAGGCAGGAGAGGGAAGUGGAAUUCCCGGUGUAGUGGUGAAAUGCGUAGAUAUCGGGAGGAACACCAGUGGCGAAGGCGACUUCCUGGCCUGUUCUUGACGCUGAGGCGCGAAAAGCUAGGGGAGCAAACGGGGAUUAAGAU